GACGCUUUGGGAGCGGCCCGCGUCGGAUUAGGUUGUUGGUGAGGUAAUGGCUCACCAAGCCGACGAUCCGUAGCUGGUCUGAGAGGAUGAUCAGCCAGACUGGGACUGAGACACGGCCCAGACUCCUACGGGAGGCAGCAGUGAGGAAUCUUCCACAAUGGGCGAAAGCCUGAUGGAGCAACGCCGCGUGCAGGAUGAAGGCCUUCGGGUUGUAAACUGCUUUUAUAAGUGAAGAAUAUGACGGUAACUUAUGAAUAAGCACCGGCUAACUACGUGCCAGCAGCCGCGGUCAUACGUAGGGUGCAA
rnacentral:rRNA from 1 species